rnacentral:rRNA from 1 species
UACGUAGGGUGCGAGCGUUUAAUCGGAAUUACUGGGCGUAAAGCGUGCGCAGGCGGCGCGUUAAGACAGGUGUGAAAGCCCCGAGCUUAACUUGGGAAUUGCGCUUGUGACUGGCGUGCUGGAGUGUGGCAGAGGGAGGUGGAAUUCCACGUGUAGCAGUGAAAUGCGUAGAGAUGUGGAGGAACACCGAUGGCGAAGGCAGCCUCCUGGGCCAGCACUGACGCUCAUGCACGAAAGCGUGGGGAGCAAACAGG